rnacentral:rRNA from 1 species
GUGAGUAGUUCUAGAGUUUGAUCCUGGCUCAGGACGAACGCCGGCGGCGUGCCUAACACAUGCAAGUCGAACGGGGUAAUUGCUUCGGUGAUUACUUAGUGGCGAACGGGUGAGUAACGCGUGAGGAACCUGCCUUUCAGUGGGGGACAACAGUUGGAAACGACUGCUAAUACCGCAUAAUGUUAUCGGAUCGCAUGAUCUGAUAACCAAAGAUUUAUUGCUGAAAGAUGGCCUCGCGUCUGAUUAGAUAGUUGGUGGGGUAACGGCCUACCAAGUCGACGAUCAGUAGCCGGACUGAGAGGUUGAACGGCCACAUUGGGACUGAGAUACGGCCCAG